GUGCAGUCCAGUCAAACUCAUCAUAAAAUGGACACGAUGUCGUUGAGUUGCCAGAGGUGUGGUUGUGGUCCCUGGUUUUCCUCUACUCAGUCAUGAGCUGCUUAAUCUGUUCCCUGCACUAAUCACCAGUAUGGGAGGGUCCUGGGCAGAAGUGGAGAGGGAGAUGGAGCCUGUCUUGGAGAGGAUGAUGGAGAGCUAAGAAAGGACAAUGGUCUGAUGGGACAUUCAGUAGAAAGGUCAAAGAUGAUGGAGGACUCAGAAAAAUCACCCAGGUUGCCCCACCACAGAGCUCUCAAUGGCCUUCUCAAAAAAUAAAGCCUGGAAACUGGGAGAGAGUUGGAUAGAUUGCCU